rnacentral:rRNA from 1 species
GACGAACCGUGCGAACGUUGUUCGGAAUCACUGGGCUUAAAGGCGCGUAGGCGGUGAUCCAUGUCAGGGUGAAAUCCCGGGCUUAACUCCGGAAUUGCCUUGAAACGGAUCGCUAGAGUCCGAGAGAGGAUGGCGGAAUUCCUAGUGUAGAGGUGAAAUUCGUAGAUAUUAGGAAGAACACCGGUGGCGAAGGCGGCAUCUGGCUCGGUACUGACGCUCCAGGCGCGAAAGCGUGGGGGG